rnacentral:rRNA from 1 species
CCUAAGGUAGCGAAAUUCCUUGUCAGGUAAGUUCUGACCCGCACGAAUGGCGUAAUGAUUUGGGCACUGUCUCAACAGCCCGCCCGGCGAAAUUGUAGUACUGGUGAAGAUGCCAGUUACCCGCAACUAGACGGAAAGACCCCAUGGAGCUUUACUGCAGCUUAAUACUGAAAUUCGGUAGUACAUGUACAGGAUAGGUGGGAGACUGAGAAAUACAGGCGUCAGCUUGUAUGGAGUCGCUGUUGGGAUACCACUCUUGUACUGCUGGGUUUCUAACCUGCGGCCGUGAAUCCGGUCGGGGGACACUGUUAGGCGGGCAGUUUGACUGGGGCGGUCGCCUCCAAAAAGGUAACGGAGGCGCUCAAAGGUUCGUUCAGCACGGACGGAAAUCGUGCAUUGAGUGUAAACGCAUAAACGAGCCUAACUGCGAGACCGACGGGUCGAGCAGUAACGAAAGUUGGAGUUAGUGAUCCGGUGGUAUGUGAGUGGAAAUGCCAUCGCUCAACGGAUAAAAGCUACCCUGGGGAUAACAGGCUGAUCUCCCCCAAGCGUCCACAGCGACGGGGAGGUUUGGCACCUCGAUGUCGGCUCGUCGCAUCCUGGGGCUGAAUUCGGUCCCAAGGGUUUGGCUGUUCGCCAAUUAAAGCGGCACGCGAGCUGGGUUCAGAACGUCGUGAGACAGUUCGGUCCCUAUCUGUUGCGGGCGUAAGAGAUUUGAAGGGAGCUGUCCUUAGUACGAGAGGACCGGGAUGGACGUACCUCUGGUGCACCAGUUGUCCUGCCAAGGGCAUAGCUGGGUAGCUAUGUACGGACGAGAUAAACGCUGAAAGCAUCUAAGCGUGAAACUCCCCCUAAGAUGAGAUCUCUCAUCCUUUAAGGAGUAAGGACCCAGAAAGACGAUCUGGUUGAUAGGCCGAAGGUGGAAGCGCAGUAAUGUGUGCAGCUGAUCGGUACUAAUAGUCCGAGGGCUUGACCUA